rnacentral:lncRNA from 1 species
GGCAUAGGGGCUCAAGGGCCCCGUUACAGUAUUUUGGGGAGUUUACCCUCUAGAGGAUUCCACUGGUUACUUCAGGUACACCUUAUGUAAAUGGAGAGGGUGAAGUAAAGUUACAAAGUUAUUUACUUGGCCUGUGCCCUGCAGAGAGGAUAUUUCCUGUCAUAGCUGAAGUGUGAAUUGGCCUUAUAUUCCCUGCAUCCAGACCCUGUUUUCCUGCCUCACCACCAGGCCCCUCCUCCAACAGUGGGGAUUAUAAUUCGGCAUGAGAUUUGGGUGAAGACAAAGAGCCAAACAGUAUCAUAUGAUAUUGACAAUCUGUCUCUCUCUCUCUUUUUUUUUUUUUUUUUUGAGACAGGGAAUCACUCUCUGUCACCCAGUCUUGAGUGCAAUGGUAUGAUCACAGCUCACUGCAGCUUCGAGCUGCCGGACUCAAGCAAUCCUCCCAUCUCAGCCUCCUGAGCAGCAAGACUACAGGCAUGCACCACCACACCUGGCUAAAUAUUUAAUUUUUUAUAGAGACAAGACCUUGCUCUGUUGCCCAGGAUGGUCUCAAACUCCUAAGCUUAAGUGAUCCUACUGCCUUGGACUCCGAAGUACUAGGAUUACAGGUUGAGUCAGGAAGAAAAAAACACAUUCACAAUGUGUUUCAUGAGGUCAAUGAUUCUUUUCCAGAAAAUAAAGUAAGUGUUCAUCUGGUCUUAGAAUGUUAUCAUCAACUUGAAAUUUCUACAUAUUUUUCUCCUUUCUUUCUCUCUCAUUUUCUUAGAUCCUUUGUCUUCUCUGUUGGCUGCUUCUGCCUCCCACCUUCUCACUCAUCAUCUCAUCAAGCAUUAGCAACUUUUUGUUAUUGAUAAAGUCUGAAGAGUGUUGAGUUGACAAAUGUUGUGCCUUUAAUAGUCAAAAAAUACAACAACAAUUUAAUCCUGAAACAUGGUGAUAUAGAAGAAGAUGGAAGUUUGAGAAGCUGUUUUUAUUUAGAUCAGUGCAGGCAGAUUGUUUUAAAUAUAAUGCCUAGAAAUUUUUUUAACUCAUGCCCAUCUUUACCAUCAGAAUGUUCUUAGUUUAUAUACAUACAGCUAGUUAUCUUAUAUUUACUUAUUUUAUUAUUACUGUCUUUGUACUUUUAUAUAAUUAACUGCCAUCCAGUGACUUUUCUUUAAAUGUAGUGAAAAACAUUUCACUACAAAAUUUCCAUUAUAUCUAUUCAUUGCAAUAGUUCAAUUGCAUUAAAAACAAAACAAAAUUCCACUAAAUUUCAGAUAGAUAGGCAGCAAAUAUAUAACUUGACAAAAUCCUAAGUAUUCUGAGUCAAUUCAGUGGAGGAGGAGGGCAAUCUUCAGUGAGUUAAAAUAAGAGCAUUAUAUUUUACAGUUGUAGGUGGCCAUCAAGGUCAUCUAGUCAAGCUACAUUGAUUCAUAAUUUUGAAAACUAAGAUCCUAUAUUAACUAUCUUUUCUGACCACAGUGGUAUGAAACUAAAAAUCAAGAACAGGAGGAAUCAUGGAAAAUGAACACAUUUGUGGAAAUUAAAUAACAUGCCCCUGAAAAACUGUUGGGUUAAAGAAGAAAUUAAAGGAGAAAUUUUUAAAAUCUUGAGACAAAUCAAAAUGGAAACACAACAUACCAGACUUAUGGGAUAUGUUAAAAGCUGUUCUAAGAGAGAAGUUUAUAGCAAUAAGCAUCUACAUCAAAAAAAGAAGAAAGAUCUCAAAUAAACAACCUAAUAUUAUACUUUAAGGAACUAGAAAAAGAAGUAUGACUAAGCCCAAGGUUAGCAGAAGGAAGGAAAUAACAAAGAUCGAGCAUAAAUAAAUAAAACAGAAACUAGAAAACCAAUAGAAAAGAUCAAUAAAAUUAAGAAAUUGGUUUUUAGAAAAGCUAAAUAAAACUGACAAGCCCUUGUCUAGACUAAGGAAAAAAAAAACUCAAAUAAAUAAAAUUUAAAAUAAAAAAGGAGACAUUACAACUGAUAACAGAAAGAGAAAGAAUCAUGAGACUACUGUGAGCAAUUAUGCACUAAUGAAUUGAACGACCUAGAAAAAAUAGAUAAAUUCCUAGAAACAUGUAACCUACCACGCUGAAUCAUGAAGAAACUGGAAAUCUAAACAGACCAAUAAUGAGUCAGAGUACUAAAUCAGGCUUUAUAAGUCACCCAUCAAAGAAAAACCCAGAACCAGAUGGCUUCAUAACUGAAUUCUAUGAAAUAUUUUUUAAAAACUAAUACCAAUUAUACUCAAACUCUCCCAGAGAACUGAAGAAGAAAGAAUACUUCCAAACUCAUUUUAUGAGGCUGCAUUACUCUUCCUCUAAAACUGGACAAAGACACUAUGAAAAAAGAAAACUAUAGGCCAAUAUCACUGACAAACAGAUGCAGAAUUUCACAACAAAAUACGAGGAAACCAUAUUCAACAAUACUUUAAAAGGAUCACUCACCAUGAUUAAGUGCGAUUUAUCUCUGUAAUGCAAGUUUGGUUCAACAUAUACAAACCAAUAAAUGUGAUUCACCAUAUUAACAGAAUGAAGGACAAAAAGUGUAUGAUUUCUCAAUUUGAUGCAGAGAAAGCACUUGAUAAAAUCCAGCUUCCUUUUAUGAUAAAAUUAGGUGUAGAAGGAAUGUUCCUCAAAACAACUAAGGUUAUAUAUUAAAAGCCCACAGCUAACAUUGUACUCAACAGUGAAAAAUUGAAAGCUUUUCCUCUAAGAUCAGGAACAAGACAAGGAUGCCCACUCUCACCACCUCUGUUCAACAUAGUACUGGAAAUCUGAGCCAGAACAAUUAGGCAAUUAAAAAAAAAGGCAUCUGCAUAGGAAAGGAAGAAGUGAAAUUGUCUCUUUACUGACAUGAUAUUUUACAUAGAAAAUUCAGAAGACUUCACCAAAAACUUGUUAGAACUAAUGAACUAAUUCAGCAAAGUUGCAGAACAUAAAAUUAACAUACAAAAAAAAGUAGUGUUUCCACAUACUAAUAACAAACUAUGUGAAAAAGAAAUUAAGAAAACAAUCCCAUUUGUAAUAGUGUCAAAAAUAGAUAAAUAAAAUGCUUAUGAGUAAAUUUAACCAAAGAGAUGGAAGAUCUUUAUACUGAAAACUAUAAAACAUUGAUGAAGGUAAUUGAAGAUUACACAAAUAAAAGAAAAGAUACCCUGUGUUCAUGGAUUUGAAGGACUGAUAUUGUUAAAAUGUUAUACUACCAAAGCAGUCUUUAGAUUCAAUGCAAUCUCUAUCAAAAUUCUAAUGUCAUUUUUAACAGAAACAGAAAAACAAUUGUAAAACUCAUAUGGGUCCACAAGAGACCCCAAUAGCCAAAGCAUUCAUAACCAAAAAUAACAAAGCUAAAGGCAUCAUACAACUGGAUUUCAAAAUAUAUUGCAAAGCUGUAGUAAUCAAAACAGAAUGUACUGGCAUAAAAACAGACACACUGACCAACCGAAUGGUAUAGACAGCCCAGAAAUAAACCCACACCUCUACAGUCAAUUUUGACAGAGGUACCAAGAAGACAAAAUGACGAAAGGGCAGUCUCUUCAAUAAAUGGGAAAACUGGAUAUCCACAUGAAAAAGGAUGAAAAGGACCUUUAUUUCACUCUUAUACAAGAAUAAAGUAAAAAAUGGAUUAAAGACUUAAAUGUAAGACAUGACACUGUAAAUCUACUAGAAGAAAACGUAGGGGGAAAGUUCCAUGACAGGUCUGUAACAGUGACUUCUCAGAUAUAAUCCCAGAAGCACAGGCAACAAAAGCAAAAAUAGACAAAUAUAAUUGUAUUCAACUAAAAAGUUUCAGGGCAGCAAAAGAAACAAUAGAGUGAAGAGAUAAUGCACAGAUUGGGAGAAAAUAUUUGCAAAUUGUACAUCAGAUAAGGGGGCUAAUAUUCAAAAUAUACAAGGACACAAAUUACUCAGUAACAAGAAAACAAAUAAACCUAUUUAAAAAUGUACAAAAAACCUGAAUAGACAUUUCUCAAAAGAAGACAGAAGUAGUUAACAGAUACAAGAAAAAAAUUCUCAAUAUCGCUAAUCAUUAGAGAAAUGCAAAUCAAAACCACAAUGAAAUAUCACCUCAUACCUACCUGUUCAAUUGGAUCAAAAAAACAAAAGGUAAGUGUUGGCGAGGAUGUGGAGAAAAAGAAACCCUUGUAUACUGGUGGUGAUAUUAUAAAUUAGUACAGCCAUUUUGGAAUACAGUAUUGAGCUUCCUCAAAAAACUAUAAAAAGAAUUGCAAUAUAAUCCAGCAAUCCCACUUUGGGGUACAGUAUAUACCCAAAGGAAUUGAAAUCAGUAUUUUGAAGACAUAUCUGCACUCCCAUCUUCACUGAAGAAUUUUUCACAAGAGCCAAGAUAUGCAAAAAACCUGUGUCUACUGAAGCAUGAAUGGAUUUUUAAAAUGUCGUAUAUAUACACAAUGGAAUACUCUUAAGGCUUAACACACACACACACACACACACACACACACACACACACACAGAGAGAGAGAGAGGAAAUUCUGGCAUUUGUGACAACACGGAUGAACCUAGAAGACAUUAGGCUAAAUGAAAUAAGCCAGGCACAGAGAGACAAAUGCCAUAUGAUUUCACUUUUAUGAGAAAUCUAAAAAAAGUCAAAUUCAUUCAAGUAGAGAGUAGAAUGGACCAGAGGUUGGCAAUGAUUGGGGCGCAGGAGUAGACAAGGAAAGGGGAGAUGUUGGUUAAAGGGUACAGGGUUUCAGUUAGACAUAAGGAACAUGUUCUGGUGAUCUAUUGCAUAGCAUGGUGACUACAGUUAAUAAUAACGUAUUAUGGCCGGGCGCGGUGGCUCACGCCUGUAAU